UACGAAGGGUGCAAGCGUUACUCGGAAUUACUGGGCGUAAAGCGUGCGUAGGUGGUUCGUUAAGUCUGAUGUGAAAGCCCUGGGCUCAACCUGGGAAUGGCAUUGGAAACUGGCGACCUAGAGUGCGGUAGAGGGUAGUGGAAUUCCCGGUGUAGCAGUGAAAUGCGUAGAGAUCGGGAGGAACAUCUGAGGUGAAGACGGGUUGCUGGGCCGACACUGACGCUGAAGCGCGAAAGCCAGGGGAGCAAACGGG
rnacentral:rRNA from 1 species